UGACACUGGGGUGACACUGGGGUGACACUGGGGUGACACGGGACGCUUCCCGGCCGGGACACGGCUGCGGGUUGGAGGGGCCGUGUCACUGCCACCGCCAGUCCGCCAGAGGGCGCCACGGCCGUUGGGGCGGCGGGGGCGGAGCGCGGGAAGGCGGCCCCGCCCCGGGCAUGCUCAGUGCGCAGCUCCCGCCUUUUACCGGCGGGACGGCAGGGCCCUGGCGGGAGCUGCGGCUUGGCGGAGAGGCGGGAGCGGUCCUGCGGCGGGGAGUGACCUGGAACGGGGAGCCAGGCGCUGCCGGGGCCGCCGCUUGGGGCCGGGACUCCCGUGCCGUGAGCCUGUUUUUCUCCCCCCGGCAGGACCGUGCGAGCGGAGAGACCUUUGGAUGGCCGCGGCGAUGGACGAGGCGUUCCGGAGCUCGGGCCCCGAGAUUCAGCUGUGGAGAAACUGCAGACGAGGCUGCYCGGCACAGCUGCCCCAUCCCCCGAUCGGGYUCUCCCRGAGAACGGGCCAMUUGCAGGCACCUGGUCCCUCCUGUGAAUUUUGGGGACUGUCUCCAUGCAGGAAACAGYAGAGGGGUCUGGCCGAAGAGCUCAGCCUGGGACACGGCCCCACCCAGGAGCAGCUCUGGACACACUGACAUGGGAGCRUGAGCCCAGGUGAAGACCAUGGCCCCAGCACAGCACUGCGAGAGGCUGGCUCCGGAGGGAAAGGUUGGUGAGUACCCAUGGGCAGCUCUGCUGUGCUGUUGGGGAACGUGCAAUUUAGGUGGUUGUGCUUAUGGUUUCUGAUUGUGU